GAAAAGAUAAGCCACAGACGGAGUUUUCCCGGGACCCACAAACAAGCUUUGUAUAGCCUCUGAUUAGCCAGCCUUUCUGGUUACAAUAAAAGAAGAUGGCUUCCCAGUCUCCUUUUCCUGCUCCUGGGCCAUGAAAACCCGACAUUUUUGGAAGGAGGGGGUCUCACACAAGAACCUAGAGUGCUAGAGAAAAAUUAUCCCACCCCUCCCCCCACAGUUUUGGCAACCCAGAUGGGACCCACUGAGAUACACUACUUGCUUCAGAGCCUGCAGAUGGAAU